UACGUAGGUGGCGAGCGUUGUCCGGAUUUAUUGGGCGUAAAGCGCGCGCAGGCGGUGCGGUAAGUCCGUCGUGAAAUCUCCCGGCUCAACUGGGAGGGUGCGGUGGAGACUGCCGGACUGGAGGCACUCAGAGGCCGGUGGAAUUCCCGGUGUAGUGGUGAAAUGCGCAGAUAUCAGGAGGAACACCGGUGGCGAAGGCGGGUCUCUGGGCCGAUACUGACGCUGAGGAGCGAAAGCGUGGGGAGCGAACAGG
rnacentral:rRNA from 1 species